rnacentral:rRNA from 1 species
CGCCGCGUGAGGGAUGACGGCCUAUCGGGUUGUAAACCUCUUUUAGUAGGGAAGAAGCGAAAGUGACGGUACCUGCAGAAAAAGCACCGGCUAACUACGUGCCAGCAGCCGCGGUAAUACGUAGGGUGCAAGCGUUGUCCGGAAUUAUUGGGCGUAAAGAGCUCGUAGGCGGUUUGUCGCGUCUGCUGUGAAAUCCCGAGGCUCAACCUCGGGCUUGCAGUGGGUACGGGCAGACUAGAGUGCGGUAGGGGAGAUUGGAAUUCCUGGUGUAGCGGUGGAAUGCGCAGAUAUCAGGAGGAACACCGAUGGCGAAGGCAGAUCUCUGGGCCGUAACUGACGCUGAGGAGCGAAAGCAUGGGGAGCGAACAGGAUUAGAUACCCUGGUAGUCCAUGCCGUAAACGUUGGGCGCUAGAUGUAGGGACCUUUCCACGGUUUCUGUGUCGUAGCUAACGCAUUAAGCGCCCCGCCUGGGGAGUACGGCCGCAAGGCUAAAACUCAAAGGAAUUGACGGGGGCCCGCACAAGCGGCGGAGCAUGCGGAUUAAUUCGAUGCAACGCGAAGAACCUUACCAAGGCUUGACAUACACCGGAAACGGCCAGAGAUGGUCGCCCCCUUGUGGU